rnacentral:RNase_P_RNA from 1 species
GAAGUAGAUCGGAUGAUCGCUGGUCCGUAAGGACGGGAGGAAAGUCCGGGCUCCACAGGGCAGGGUGGUCGAUAACGUCGACUCGGGGCGACCCGAAGGAAAGUGCCACAGAAAACAGACUACCCGCUAUAGGCGGGCAAAGGUGAAAAGGCGAGGUAAGAGCUCACCGCGGUCCUGGUGACAGGGCCGGCACGGUAAACCCCACCCGGAGCAAGGCCAAAUAGACAGGCGUUUAAGGAUGGCCCGUCUGAUGCCUGUGGGUAGGCCGCUUGAGGCCCCGAGCAAUCGGGGUCCCAGAUGAAUGAUUAUCACCCCGAUUUGAUCGGGGUACAGAACCCGGCUUACGAUCUGCUUCAGCG